rnacentral:lncRNA from 1 species
GGGGUGCCUCAUGGAGGAAGAAAACUUUGAGCAGAACCUUGAAGGUUGAGUAUAAUUUGAAUAGAGAGAGAAAAGAAAUAAGCAUAGGAUAAAAGAAAAGAGAAAAAAAGCCUAAGGAGGUCCUCCAGGGGACAUUUAUGUGUAGGAAGAGAAAGUUUAAAUCCAUGUAAGAGACUAAAAAGGAAUUACUAGAGAGGGAGAAAAAAAAUAGAAGCAGAGACAGAAGUCAAAAAACAGAAUUUCAAGGAGUGGGCAAUAAUCCUCUUCAAAUGAUAGAGAUGCAGUGGAAGGUAAGAACAAGAACCGGGCAUAAACUGGGUAAGCCUUGAAGCUUCUGAACAGUGGCCCAUAGAGUGGAAUAGGUAGUAGACAGGCUUGAAGGUUAACGUGGAUGGAUAGGCAGAGGAAGCAGCCAGUAAAUACAGCAUGUGUGGAGUUUAGCAGUGAAGGGGCAAAGUUAGGUGAAAAGAAAAUAUCCAGUCUGUCACUGAUGGACAUUUGGGUUGAUUCCAAGUCUUUGCUAUUGUGAAUAGUGCCGCAAUAAACAUAUGUGUGCAUGUGUCUUUAUAGCAGCAUGAUUUAUAAACCUCUGGGUAUAUACCCAGUAAUGGGAUGGCUGGGUCAUAUGGUACUUCUAGUUCUAGAUCCUUGAGGAAUUGCCAUACUGUUUUCCAUAAUGGUUGAACUAGUUUACAAUGUGGCACAUAUACACCAUGGAAUACUAUGCAGCCAUAAAAAAGGAUGAGUUUGUGUCCUUUGUAGGGACAUGGAUGCAGCUGGAAACCAUCAUUCUCAGCAAACUAUCGCAAGAACAGAAAACCAAACACCGCAUGUUCUCACUCAUAGGUGGGAAUUGAACAAUGAGAUCACUUGGACACAGGAAGGGGAACAUCACACACCGGGGCCUAUUGUGGGGAGAGGAGAGGGGGAAGGAUAGCAUUAGGAGAGAUACCUAAUGUAAAUGAAAAGUUAAUGGGUGCAGCACACCAACAUGGCACAUGUAGACAUAUGUAACAAACCUGCACGUUGUGCACAUGUACCCUAGAACUUAAAGUAUAAUAAAACAAAUAAAUAAAUAAAUUUGUUUAAAAAGACUUAAAUGUAAAACCCAAACUCAUAAAUACCCUAGAAGAAAGCCUAGGCAAUACCAUUCAAGACAUAGGCAUGGGCAAAGUCUUCAUGACUAAAACACCAAAGCAAUUGCAACAAAAGCCAAAAUUC